UCAUUCCUCCAAACAAAUGAAUGCUGUUGGUGCUCUUCUGGCAGACAUCUUGUGACUGCUGCUCUGCAGGACUGAGUGCGUUGUAAAGUUGUUUAUCCUGAAUAAAAGAAACCAAAUCUGAAAAAUUCUCUUCAGAAGCUAGAGCUGAAGAAAGACAUCGUCAUCAGCCAAAUCUUCAAGAUGGAAAAGUGCAACUGAAUUUGGGAAGAUACGAUGUGUUUAUUGCCAUGACAAGGUUUUUUAUUGGCUGGAAAAGAUCUAUAAGGUAUCUCCAGUAGGCUGGGUGAAUCCUGCCCUCAACUGGCCACUUCUUUUCCCUGAUUGUAAAGGGAGAGCUGCAGAUGUUUACAUUGUACGUCCCUGAUCCUCAAAGUUGCUGAGCAUCUUGCAGCCUGUAAGCGUAACACAUGAAUACCUGUCCCAAGGGAAGAGCCCCACAUUAUGGAUCAGGAGCUGAG